UACGUAGGGUCCGAGCGUUGUCCGGAGUUACUGGGCGUAAAGCGCGCGCAGGUGGCUCGAUAAGACUGGCGUGAAAGCCCCCGGCUCAACCGGGGAGGGUCGUUGGUGACUGUCGAGCUUGAGGGCAGCAGGGGCAGGUGGAAUUUCCGGUGGAGCGGUGAAAUGCAUUGAGAUCGGAAAGAACACCAACGGCGGAAAGCACUCUGCUGGGCCGACACUGACACUGAGAGACGAAAGCUAGGGGAGCAAAUGGG
rnacentral:rRNA from 1 species